AUUGAACGCUGGCGGCAGGCCUAACACAUGCAAGUCGAACGAGUGGCGGACGGGUGAGUAAUGUCUGGGAAACUGCCUGAUGGAGGGGGAUAACUACUGGAAACGGUAGCUAAUACCGCAUACCAUCGGAUGUGCCCAGAUGGGAUUAGCUAGUAGGGGGGGUAAAGGCUCACCUAGGCGACGAUCCCUAGCUGGUCUGAGAGGAUGACCGGCGACACUGGAACUGUGACACGGUCCGGACUCCUACGGGAGGCCGCAGUGGGGAAGAUUGGACAAGGGGCGCAAGCCUGAGGCGUCCAUGCCGGGUGUAUGAAGAAGGCCUUCGGGUUGUAAAGUAAUUUCGGCGGGGAGGCGUUACCCGCAGAAGGAGCACCGGCUAACUCCGUGCCAGCAGCCGCGGUAAUAC
rnacentral:rRNA from 1 species